rnacentral:ncRNA from 1 species
UUGGUUAGAAAUCUACACAGGCCGCAUCGCAACGAAGCGGCUCAGGAGGCUCGUAACGCCGGCAGCGGACUCCAACGGCAGAACCAUUACUGCCUGACCUCACGUCGAGGUCUACAGGACAUUACAGUCAAC